GCAUCUCGAUGGGAGGUGCCACUGCGUUGCAUCUCGCCAACACUUAUCCAGACACAAUCUCGAAAGUCGUAGCGUACGCCCCGCUCCUGAAGGUAGGACGAAACUUAGCCUUCGAAAGACAAGAACCGUGAACAAACUUACUAAUGAUCGAUCGAUCUUCUGGCCAGACCAUGGAUGAUUCAAGGAGAGAAUUUGCUCUGGCGAUCGGCCCGCUGGACGUGAAAGAAACCGGAUGGGAGCCGUCGCUCCAGUUCACAGUGGGAUGCCUUGUGGCAAUCGACCUGUGUGGGACUCGCGUUAGCCAAUCCAACAUAGAUAAUCUCCCAAAGAAAGUCACUACCUUGCUACUCUUCACGGCAAACGAAGACUCGGCCGACCUUCCAACGCAGGAGAAAUUCGCGCAACGAUUAAAAUCCAUCUCCUCCGGUAGGAUGCUUUGAUCUUCAACAAUGUGGAAAAAUUCUCCCGUCGCUACUGUCCCAGAUGGAGUGCCACACCUGCAUUACACAUAUCGCCGCGAGCUGGAAGUCCCGCACGCGAUGAUCCACCCAAACGAGGUAGGAAAUCGAGAAAUUCUCGAGAGAUUUCUAACCUCUCGCUUGGCGCAGAGGCCGAUCGCGAACAAGCUGUGGAGAAAAAUGUACCAGGAGACAUUUCGAUUCCUGACCGCCGGGAGGGCGCGGUCGAUUCGCUGCGCCAAG
rnacentral:lncRNA from 1 species